CUGACAUUCACGAGUGGGGUGUGGGGUGGGUGGAGAAAGGAAGGUAAAAAUGCAUGCAGGCGCAACCCAGCACCCGGGCGAGGAUGUUCCCCUUCCUAUCCGUCCUCCUCCUCCUCCUUUUUUUUUUUUUUUUCCCUUUUAACUGGUAGCUUGCACUAAAAACAUUCUGGGCUCAGCAAAACCACCGCAACCGAGGGGAAGUCGCAAGGCAUUAUGGACUUCUUAAGGGGAUUGGGUCAUCACCUGUGUCCAAAAGACACAAUUCAUCUGUGCCUUAGAAAUAUUUGGUCCAGUGUGCAGGCCUAAUAACCAGACCAGAUAGGUGGAAAGGAUUAAGAAUUUGAUUUGCAAAUUGAAAGGCUGCCUAGAAGUUCCUACUUGCUUUUACUGGGCAGCUGAGAUGAACUUCUCGCCUUGGGUGACUCGACUAGAGUUCCAUACUCUUGUACACGCCUGACACCUUUUUUUGUGCUCAUCCCUCAUCAGUAUGAGACAACUUAGCAGGACAUGGGGAAGAGAGGGAACUUGGUAGAGAAAAUAAUUUUGGAUGAAAAUAAAUGAUGGGAAAAGUACUUUUGUAAGUAUUCUUGAAAUUAGAGUUAGGAAUAUCUUUAUGGAAGGAAGUAAAGGUCAAAAGAACAGAGUGGAGGAAAAGAGGAAGUAAGCAUAGAAGUAGAAAAACAAGGCUGAGGAAAGAGUUUGAAGAAAGUAAAGAUUACCUUGAUGAUUUUCAGCUGGGAAAAGCAGGCUCAGAUUGUAACACUCAAA